rnacentral:rRNA from 1 species
GAGUGAAAUAGAUCCUGAAACCGUGUGCCUACAACAAGUUAGAGCCCGUUAAUGGGUGAUAGCGUGCCUUUUGUAGAAUGAACCGGCGAGUUACGAUAGCAUGCGAGGUUAAGUUGAAGAGACGGAGCCGUAGCGAAAGCGAGUCUGAAUAGGGCGAAUGAGUAUGUUGUCGUAGACCCGAAACCAUGUGAUCUACCCAUGUCCAGGUUGAAGGUGCGGUAAAACGCACUGGAGGACCGAACCCACGUACGUUGAAAAGUGCGGGGAUGAGGUGUGGGUAGCGGAGAAAUUCCAAACGAACUUGGAGAUAGCUGGUUCUCUCCGAAAUAGCUUUAGGGCUAGCCUCGGAAUUGAGAAUGAUGGAGGUAGAGCACUGUUUGGACUAGGGGCCCAUCUCGGGUUACCGAAUUCAGAUAAACUCCGAAUGCCAUUCAUUCAUAUCCGGGAGUCAGACUGUGAGUGAUAAGAUCCAUAGUCGAAAGGGAAACAGCCCAGACCACCAGCUAAGGUCCCCAAAUAACUAUUAAGUGGAAAAGGAUGUGGGGUUGCACAGACAACUAGGAUGUUGGCUUAGAAGCAGCCACCAUUUAAAGAGUGCGUAAUAGCUCACUAGUCGAGUGACCCUGCGCCGAAAAUGUACCGGGGCUAAAUAGUUUACCGAAGCUGUGGAGUGCACCAUCAGGUGCAUUGGUAGGAGAGCGUUCUAAGGGCGUUGAAGGCAGAUCGUGAGGACUGCUGGAGCGCUUAGAAGUGAGAAUGCCGGUAUGAGUAGCGAAAGACAGGUGAGAAUCCUGUCCACCGAAUGACUAAGGUUUCCUGGGGAAGGCUCGUCCGCCCAGGGUUAGUCGGGACCUAAGCCGAGGCCGACAGGCGUAGGCGAUGGACAACAGGUUGAUAUUCCUGUACCCGUUGUUUUUGUUUGAGCAAUGGAGGGACGCAGGAGGCUAAGAAGUGCAGACUGAUGGAUAUGUCUGUUCAAGCAGUAAGUCUUGGUAGGAGUCAAAUGCUUCUACCUAUACGGACAAGCUGUGAUGAGGAGGGAAAUAAUAGUACCGAAGCUUCUGAUGUCACACUGCCAAGAAAAGCUUCUAGUGAGAAAACAACGGCCCGUACCGCAAACCGACACAGGUAGUCGAGGAGAGAAUCCUAAGGUGAGCGAGAGAACUCUCGUUAAGGAACUCGGCAAAAUGACCCCGUAACUUCGGGAGAAGGGGUGCUGCUCUAACGAGCAGCCGCAGUGAAUAGGCCCAAGCGACUGUUUAUCAAAAACACAGGUCUCUGCAAAAUCGAAAGAUGACGUAUAGGGGCUGACGCCUGCCCGGUGCUGGAAGGUUAAGAGGAGUGCUUAGCGUAAGCG